rnacentral:rRNA from 1 species
AUGGGAGAGUGGCGAACGGGUGCGUAACACGUGAGAAACCUGUCCCGAAGAUGGGAAUAGCCCAGGGAAACCUGGAUUAAUACCCAAUACCCUGAGAGCGUCGCAUGGCGCACUUAGGAAAUGUUCCGGCGCUUUGGGAGGGUCUCGCGGCCUAUCAGCUUGUUGGUGAGGUAAAGGCUCACCAAGGCAUCGACGGGUAGCUGGUCUGAGAGGACGAUCAGCCACACUGGGACUGAGACACGGCCCAGACUCCUACGGGAGGCAGCAGUAGGGAAUCUUGCGCAAUGGGCGAAAGCCUGACGCAGCAACGCCGCGUGGGGGAAGAAGGCUCUAGGGUCGUAAACCCCUUUCAGCAGGGACGAAAAUGACGGUACCUGCAGAAGAAGCGCCGGCCAACUACGUGCCAGCAGCCGCGGUAAUACGUAGGGCGCAAGCGUUGUCCGGAUUUAUUGGGCGUAAAGGGCUCGU